CUUUUUGCUUUGUAACGUUGUACGUUAUAUUUUGAAUAUUUAAAAAUACUAGACUUGCUAUAUCUCGGCCGCGCGCCGCGAGCCGUGAGCCGUUGACGGGUGACGGAAACCGGUUCGGCGAACUAUCCCUCCUAUGAGGCGACGCGAGCAGAGCCGGCGGUCAAUCGCGAGACGGGCACUAGCACGACGCCGCGAGCCGAUACAGUCUACUACUACUACUGGUCUAUGUACAUUUUUAACUCGCGAUUUUAUUGCAAAUAAUUUAAUCUUUAAUAAACUAUUGUGCUUUUAAAAUAACUUUUAAAGUCAGUGUAUACCCCAGAUCGGGGUUCAAGUACCUGACUACCUCCAGUGCACCUACCGUAGUGCACCUACCCUAAGUGCACCUACCUACGCACCUGUCUACCUACGUGCCUGUGUCUACCUACGUGCCUGUGUCUACCUACGUGCCGCGCCUAUCUACGUGUCCUGCAUCUACCUGCGCGUCCGGCAUCUACUAGCGCGCUGCACACUUACCCCGCCUGACCGCUGCCGAGCUGCCUGACUAUACAGGGGUUCAAGUACCUGACUACCUCCAGUGCACCUACCGUAGUGCACCUACCCUAAGUGCACCUACCUACGCACCUGUCUACCUACGUGCCUGUGUCUACCUACGUGCCUGUGUCUACCUACGUGCCGCGCCUAUCUACGUGUCCUGCAUCUACCUGCGCGUCCGGCAUCUACUAGCGCGCUGCACACUUACCCCGCCUGACCGCUGCCGAGCUGCCUGACUAUACAGGGUAGUAGUGUUCUUUAGCGGGCCAGAACUUAACGCGAGCUCGAUUAUUCUAAACCCACUCCCAGCUCUGCCGAUCUUUUUGUGUAAUAUAGACUAUACAAAUUUUCUAAAUUACUCUUUUUAUUUUUCUACCUAUUAGUCUACCUACCACUAACCUAAACG